rnacentral:rRNA from 1 species
AGAGUUUGAUCAUGGCUCAGAUUGAACGCUGGCGGCAGGCUUAACACAUGCAAGUCGAGCGGUAACAGGGGGAGCUUGCUUCCCGCUGACGAGCGGCGGACGGGUGAGUAAUGCUUAGGAAUCUGCCCAGUAGUGGGGGAUAGCCCGGGGAAACCCGGAUUAAUACCGCAUACGUCCUACGGGAGAAAGCAGGGGAUCUUCGGACCUUGCGCUAUUGGAUGAGCCUAAGUCGGAUUAGCUAGUUGGUGGGGUAAAGGCCUACCAAGGCGACGAUCCGUAGCUGGUCUGAGAGGAUGAUCAGCCACAUCGGGACUGAGACACGGCCCGAACUCCUACGGGAGGCAGCAGUGGGGAAUAUUGGACAAUGGGGGCAACCCUGAUCCAGCCAUGCCGCGUGUGUGAAGAAGGCUUUCGGGUUGUAAAGCACUUUCAGUAGGGAGGAAAACCUUAUGGCUAAUACCCAUGAGGCUUGACGUUACCUACAGAAGAAGCACCGGCUAACUCCGUGCCAGCAGCCGCGGUAAUACGGAGGGUGCAAGCGUUAAUCGGAAUUACUGGGCGUAAAGCGCGCGUAGGUGGUUUGGUAAGCGAGAUGUGAAAGCCCCGGGCUUAACCUGGGAACGGCAUUUCGAACUGUCAGACUAGAGUGUGGUAGAGGGUAGUGGAAUUUCCUGUGUAGCGGUGAAAUGCGUAGAUAUAGGAAGGAACACCAGUGGCGAAGGCGGCUACCUGGACCAACACUGACACUGAGGUGCGAAAGCGUGG